rnacentral:miRNA from 1 species
UUGCACAUGUAGGAUGUCCC